GCCGAGCAUCCUACGGGAGGCAGCAGUGGGAAUAUUGCACAAUGGGCGCAAGCCUGAUGCAGCCAUGCCGCGUGUAUGAAGAAGGCCUUCGGGUUGUAAAGUACUUUCAGCAGUGAGGAAGGUGGGUAUGUUAAUAGCAUACUCAUUUGACGUUAGCUGCAGAAGAAGCACCGGCUAACUCCGUGCCAGCAGCCGCGGUAAUACGGAGGGUGCGAGCGUUAAUCGGAAUUACUGGGCGUAAAGCGCAUGCAGGUGGUUUGUUAAGUCAGAUGUGAAAGCCCGGGGCUCAACCUCGGAAUUGCAUUUGAAACUGGCAAACUAGAGUACUGUAGAGGGGGUAGAAUUUCAGGUGUAGCGGUGAAAUGCGUAGAGAUCUGAAGGAAUACCGGUGGCGAAGGCGGCCCCCUGGACAGAUACUGACACUCAGAUGCGAAAGCGUGGGGAGCAAACAGGAUUAGAUACCCUGGUAG
rnacentral:rRNA from 1 species